CCUACGGGAGACAGCAGUGGGGGAUAUUGCACAAUGGGGGAAACCCUGAUGCAGCAACGCCGCGUGAGUGAAGAAGGUUUUCGGAUUGUAAAGCUCUGUUAGCAGGGAAGAGGAAGGCAGUUACUUACCGAGAAAGCCACGGCUACCUACGUGCCAGCGGCGGCGGUAAUCCGUAGGGGGCAAGCGUUGUUCGGAAUAACUGGGCGUAAAGGAUGCGUAGGCGGUUAAAAAAGUUAUAUGUUAAAUAUAUAGGCUCAACCUGGAGAAAGCAUAGAAAACUGUUUAACUAGAGUGCAGGAGGGGUAAGUGGAAUUCCUAGUGUAGCGGUGAAAUGCGUAGAGAUUAGGAAGAACACCAGUGGCGAAGGCGACUUACUGGACUGUAACUGACGCUGAGGCUUGAGAGCAUGGGGAGCAAACAGGAUUAGAUACCCCUGUAGUC
rnacentral:rRNA from 1 species